UACGUAGGGGGCAAGCGUUGUUCGGAAUUACUGGGCGUAAAGCGCGUGUAGGCGGCUAAGUAAGUCGGGCGUGAAAUCCCACGGCUCAACCGUGGAAGUGCACUCGAAACUGCAUAGCUAGAGUCCUGGAGAGGAAGGUGGAAUGCUUGGUGUAGAGGUGAAAUUCGUAGAUAUCAAGCGGAACACCGGUGGCGAAGGCGGCCUUCUGGACAGUGACUGACGCUGAGACGCGAAAGCGUGGGGAGCAAACAGG
rnacentral:rRNA from 1 species